GAUGAAGAACGCAGCGAAAUGCGAUAAGUAGUGUGAAUUGCAGAAUUCAGUGAAUCAUCGAAUCUUUGAACGCACAUUGCGCCCCUUGGUAUUCCAUGGGGCAUGCCUGUUCGAGCGUCAUUUGUACCUUCAAGCUCUGCUUGGUGUUGGGUGUUUGUCUCGCCUUUGCGUGUAGACUCGCCUUAAAAUAAUUGGCAGCCGGUGUAUUGAUUUCGGAGCGCAGUACAUCUCGCGCUUUGCACUCAUAACGACAGCGUCCAAAAGUACAUUUUACACUCUUGACCUCGGAUCAGGUAGGGAUACCCGCUGAACUUAAGCAUAUCAAUAAGCGGAGGA
rnacentral:misc_RNA from 1 species